UACGAAGGGGGCUAGCGUUGCUCGGAAUCACUGGGCGUAAAGCGCACGUAGGCGGAUCUUUAAGUCAGGGGUGAAAUCCCAGAGCUCAACUCUGGAACUGCCUUUGAUACUGGGUAUCUGGAGUAUGGAAGAGGUGAGUGGAAUUCCGAGUGUAGAGGUGAAAUUCGUAGAUAUUCGGAGGAACACCAGUGGCGAAGGCGGCUCACUGGUCCAUUACUGACGCUGAGGUGCGAAAGCGUGGGGAGCAAACAGG
rnacentral:rRNA from 1 species